rfam:Mus musculus chromosome 18, GRC primary reference assembly.
GGGGAUUUAGCUCAGUGGUAGAGCACUUGCCUAGCAAGCACAAGGCCCUGGGUUCGGUUCUCAGCUCUG